rnacentral:rRNA from 1 species
GAACGGUAACAGGUCUUCGGAUGCUGACGAGUGGCGAACGGGUGAGUAAUGUAUCGGAACGUGCCCAGUAGUGGGGGAUAACUACUCGAAAGAGUGGCUAAUACCGCAUGAGAACUGAGGUUGAAAGCGGGGGACCUUCGGGCCUCGCGCUACUGGAGCGGCCGAUAUCAGAUUAGGUAGUUGGUGGGGUAAAGGCCUACCAAGCCGACGAUCUGUAGCUGGUCUGAGAGGACGACCAGCCACACUGGGACUGAGACACGGCCCAGACUCCUACGGGAGGCAGCAGUGGGGAAUUUUGGACAAUGGACGCAAGUCUGAUCCAGCAAUGCCGCGUGCAGGACGAAGGCCUUCGGGUUGUAAACUGCUUUUGUACAGAACGAAAGGGCUCUGGUUAAUACCUGGGGCAGAUGACGGUACUGUAAGAAUAAGCACCGGCUAACUACGUGCCAGCAGCCGCGGUAAUACGUAGGGUGCGAGCGUUAAUCGGAAUUACUGGGCGUAAAGCGUGCGCAGGCGGUUUUGUAAGACCGAUGUGAAAUCCCCGGGCUCAACCUGGGAACUGCAUUGGUGACUGCAAGGCUGGAGUGCGGCAGAGGGGGAUGGAAUUCCGCGUGUAGCAGUGAAAUGCGUAGAUAUGCGGAGGAACACCGAUGGCGAAAGCAAUCCCCUGGGCCUGCAC